rnacentral:rRNA from 1 species
UUGAGUAGUAUUAGUUAUGUUCUUGAAACUUAAAAAAUUUGGCGGUAUUUUAGUCUAUUCAGAGGAACCUGUUCUAUAAUCGAUAAUCCACGAUGGACCUAACUUAAAUUUGUACUCAGUUUAUAUACCGUCGUUAUCAGAAUAUUUUAUAAGAAUAAUAAUUUUCUAUAAAUUUAAUUAAAUUAUAUAUCAGAUCAAGGUGUAGCUUAUGUUUAAGUAGAAAUGGGUUACAAUAAAAUUAUUUAUAUGGAUGUAAAUAUGAAAAAUUUAUUGAAAGUGGAUUUGAUAGUAAAAUUAUAUAGAUUAAUAAUUUGACCUUAGCUCUAAAAUAUGCACACAUCGCCCGUCGCUCUUAUUAUUAAGAUAAGAUAAGUCGUAACAUAGUAGAUGUACCGGAAGGUGUCUCUAGAAUGACAAUUUAAAGCUUAUUUAGUAAAGCAUUUCAUUUACAUUGAAAAGAUUUUUGUGCAAAUCAAUAUAAAUUGAUUAAAUUUUAUUUAUUAAUAUUUUUUUUUGAAUUUUAAAAUUAUUAAAAAUAAUUAUAAAAUUAAUUGUUUUAGUAUUGUAUAAAGAAUAAAUAAGUUUAAUAAUAGUUAAUUAGUAUCGUGAGAGAGUAUUGAAAUAAUUUGAAAAA